rnacentral:rRNA from 1 species
GACCGGAUUAGGGCUUGCCUUGAUUCGGUCAGCGGCGGACGGGUGAGUAACACGUGGGCAACCUGCCCGCAAGACCGGGAUAACUCCGGGAAACCGGAGCUAAUACCGGAUAACACCGAAGACCGCAUGGUCUUCGGUUGAAAGGCGGCCUUUGGGCUGUCACUUGCGGAUGGGCCCGCGGCGCAUUAGCUAGUUGGUGAGGUAACGGCUCACCAAGGCGACGAUGCGUAGCCGGCCUGAGAGGGUGACCGGCCACACUGGGACUGAGACACGGCCCAG